GAGAAGGGAGACACAAAAGAAUUCAGGCGGUUAGUCCUUCGUUCUUUUGGAAAAGGGGAGAAGAGAGACACAAAAAGAAUUCAAGCGGUUAGUCCUUGGCGAAUUCUUUUUGGCAAAGGGAGUAGAGAAUGAAAAAGAUGAAUAACACACUUUUGUUUUCUGUGAAAGAACAAGGUUUGGAAACCAGAAAACUUUGAAAGCUUUUGGCAAAGGAAGAAGAAGAAGAAGAAGAUAUUCAAAAGUAAAUUGGAAAAGUU
rnacentral:lncRNA from 1 species